rnacentral:rRNA from 1 species
AGCGAACGCUGGCGGCAGGCUUAACACAUGCAAGUCGAGCGGGCCUUUCGGGGUCAUCGGCGGACGGGUGAGUAACGCGUGGGAACGUGCCCUCUGGUUCGGAAUAACUCAGUUAAACUUGAGCUAAUACCGGAUACGCCCUUUUGGGGAAAGGCUUGCUGCCGGAGGAUCGGCCCGCGUCUGAUUAGCUAGUUGGUGAGGUAACGGCUCACCAAGGCGACGAUCAGUAGCUGGUCUGAGAGGAUGAUCAGCCACACUGGGACUGAGACACGGCCCAGACUCCUACGGGAGGCAGCAGUGGGGAAUAUUGGACAAUGGGCGCAAGCCUGAUACAGCCAUGCCGCGUGAGUGAUGAAGGCCUUAGGGUUGUAAAGCUCUUUUAUCCGGGACGAUAAUGACGGUACCGGAGGAAUAAGCCCCGGCUAACUUCGUG